UCCCUGAGACUUAAAGUCUCCUGAAGGAACGUUGAAGACGACGACGUUGAUAGGCCGGGUGUGUAAGCGCAGCGAUGCGUUGAGCUAACCGGUACUAAUGAACCGUGAGGCUUAACCUUACAACGCCAAAG
rnacentral:rRNA from 1 species